rnacentral:rRNA from 1 species
UGGGGAAUUUUGGACAAUGGGCGAAAGCCUGAUCCAGCAAUGCCGCGUGUGUGAAGAAGGCCUUCGGGUUGUAAAGCACUUUUGUCCGGAAAGAAAUCCUUGGCUCUAAUACAGUCGGGGGAUGACGGUACCGGAAGAAUAAGCACCGGCUAACUACGUGCCAGCAGCCGCGGUAAUACGUAGGGUGCAAGCGUUAAUCGGAAUUACUGGGCGUAAAGCGUGCGCAGGCGGUUUGCUAAGACCGAUGUGAAAUCCCCGGGCUCAACCUGGGAACUGCAUUGGUGACUGGCAGGCUAGAGUAUGGCAGAGGGGGGUAGAAUUCCACGUGUAGCAGUGAAAUGCGUAGAGAUGUGGAGGAAUACCGAUGGCGAAGGCAGCCCCCUGGGCCAAAUACUGACGCUCAUGCACGAAAGCGUGGGGAGCAAAACAGGAUUAGAUACCCUGGUAGUCCACGCCCUAAACGAUGUCAACUAGUUGUUGGGGAUUCAUUUCCUUAGUAACGUAGCUAACGCGUGAAGUUGGCCGCCUGGGGAGUACGGUCGCAAGAUUAAAAACUCAAAUGAAUUGA